UACAGAGGUCUCAAGCGUUGUUCGGAUUCAUUGGGCGUAAAGGGUGCGUAGGUGGCGGGGUAAGUCUGGUGUGAAAUCUCGGGGCUCAACCCUGAAACUGCACUGGAUACUGCCUUGCUCGAGUACUGGAGAGGAGAUUGGAAUUUACGGUGUAGCAGUGAAAUGCGUAGAUAUCGGGAGGAACAUCAGUGGCGAAGGCGGCUACCUGGCCCAAUACUGACACUCAGGUGCGACAGCGUGGGGAGCAAACAGG
rnacentral:rRNA from 1 species